UGCUAUCUGGCUGUGUUUCUCUCUGCUGAUUCCAGAGGAACAGGAAACCAAUGACUCAGAUUAGUGACAGACUGCAAUAUUUUGACGGGAAGAGAUCAGGCGAGAGCGAAGUCAGCACUUUUCCAAGGUGUAGAGGGCACCCCAAUGGGGACAUGUUUGAGAUGGCACACCACCCAACUCUGGAGUAGCAGCUGUGGCUGUUCACGUCAACAUGCAGAACACCAGGGAGUUCAACCAGCUCAAAUACAGAGGGUCCCCGUCCCAAGGGCCAGGGCAGCCCAGGUUGACCUGAGGUCCAGACAGCCCUCAGCCCGGGAGAGGAGAAGGCCUGCCAGAAGGAGAGACUUUGAGGAUGAGAAGGGCCUG